AUGGCAAGGUCUAGAGUGACUCCAGCUGUUGCUGCGUGGAUUAAUGGCACUCAUCUGAGCACUGCAUCCAGGAGCACAGUUUGCACUUUGCCCCUGUGUCCCAGCUUUUGCAGGCUUUGUCUGUGUGAGCCCCACUCAGGAACUGCUGGAAGGAAUUCAAGGACAGAGGCAGAAAGGGCUACCAAUGUGCAUCCUCAGAACUAUUCCCCGGGAUUCGCUGCCAGGAUCCCAUGGAGCCCAUGGCAUGUUCAGCUCCUGCACUGGCAACAUGGACUUGUACCUGCGGUGCUGAAGGUCUGCUCCUGGCACUAG
rnacentral:lncRNA from 1 species